rnacentral:lncRNA from 1 species
GUUCAGCAAUUUAGCACGUCCCAGGCUGCUGGAAACUAACAUCUUCCUGAAGAGGAUGUCCUUCACCCUUCUCCCUCCAGGCACGACAAGUUUUCAAGACCAAGAGAGUAGAGAAGUCAGAUCAAGUGGAGCUUCCAGGAAGUGUGCAGAGUUGAGGUGGAAAGAGAAAAGACUGGAAAAAGGGACUCCGAUGCCGGUUGUCUAAACAGAGGGAGUAUUUGCCUCCUGGACAUUGAGUAAAUCAAUGUGUGAGCAUUUUAAAAGGUUAAAAGGGGCCACCCUAAAGAAGAAACCCCUCCAC